rnacentral:rRNA from 1 species
UACGUAGGGGGCUAGCGUUGUCCGGAAUCAUUGGGCGUAAAGAGCGCGUAGGCGGCUAGAUAAGUCCGGUGUGAAACCCUCAGGCUCAACCUGGGGACGCCACCCGAUACUGCUGUGGCUAGAGUCCAGUAGGGGAGUGUGGAAUUCCCGGUGUAGCGGUGAAAUGCGCAGAUAUCGGGAGGAACACCAGCGGCGAAGGCGGCACUCUGGGCUGGUACUGACGCUGAGGAGCGAAAGCGUGGGUAGCAAACAGG